GUCGGUGAUCGAAUAGGCACGGGGAAACACCCGAUCCCAUCCCGAACUCGGCCGUUAAGCCCGUGCUGCCGAUGAUACUGCCACACCAGGUGGGAAAGUAGGUGUCGCCGACU
rnacentral:rRNA from 1 species